ACCCAAAGUAAGCUUACAGCCUAGAGUUAGGAUCAUUUCUACCCUUCCUCAUAAUCUGAUCUUGUGAACUAGUGGCCAAAAACAAAGAAAACCCACCCAACAGGCAUUUUAGCACAAAGGUAUGACAAAGAAUAUCGGAAGACAAGUUGAAGCUCCUAACUGAAAACGAUAAUGCCUAGGUUUCAUAUAAAACAGGGGUGGAAGAGAACAUUGUCUGAUCUAGGGCUCACAUUUUCUCUUGCAAGGAGAUAAAGCCACUGGAAGCUAGAAAUAAUUUGGUUUUAAACCCCUUUACAAGGGGACAGACCUUUGUAUUAUAAAAAUAAGUAGUCUCCUCAGGGCAUUUCAGAAUUUGAUAGAAGGCUGGAACAACCAAAUAAACUUCCAGACAAUUAUAGGGCAAGAAUGCCUUCCUUGGAACCACGGAAGUGAACCGAGCAAGCUCUCAGACCAUAAUAUCUCCUAGAUAGAAGCUUUUGGCCUCUGUCUUGACAACGGAUGCAAACUAAGAUGGAAAACAAGUUCUCGGUAGUGACUUUGACCAUUACAUCUGGACUUCAUCUGUCAGCAAAUCUCACCUGGAGAUGAGACCACCAAGCCAGAAAGAGUACGUUUCCAGAGAAUGAAGAAUCUAUUUCCCUUAAUUCAGGCACAGACGCCUCCUAAAGAACCUUAAAACUACCACAAGGAGAUUGAAGAAAUACUGAAGGAUUUACAGAACCACCUUCACAUGUUUGUCCAUAAUACUGAAAAGACACCUUGCAAUAGGUGCCGGAGGAGAAGAGAGUAGCGGGUAAAUCCACUUGGACAGUCAGCCGGUAGAAUCCCACUUGAUUUAUUUUGAACACGUUCUGGACUGUGUUUCCCCCUGGGCAACGAGCUCUAUGAUCAAGAAGGUGGGCUUAAGAUCUCAAAUUAAAGCAAAGACAACAAUGUGGUGGUGGGGAUGGGGAAAGACCUGCAGCCAUGAUAAUUCACAGCUGGCAUUUUGGAUAGCAGCACUGCAACUAAGAAUUAGUUUGCAAACCAAAUUUUUCACAGACGAACUCGAUUUUCCUAUUUCUAUUUGGAGUCCAACUGGAAAUGCAAAAACUAAGACUGCCAGCUGCAGGCUUUCAUUUAACUCCUUCCUCUAAAAAAAAAAUACAAAUUUUUUUUAGUUCU